CCGGCGCACGGGUGCGUAACACGUAUGUAAUCUGCCCUCAACUGGGGGAUAGCCCGGAGAAAUCCGGAUUAAUACCCCAUAAUAGAAGACAAGGCAUCUUGUUUUUUUGAAAAUUCCGAUGGUUGAGGAUGAACAUGCGACUGAUUAGUUUGUUGGUGAGGUAACGGCUCACCAAGACUACGAUCAGUAGGGGUACUGAGAGGUUAAACCCCCACACUGGUACUGAGACACGGACCAG
rnacentral:rRNA from 1 species